AUUGAACGCUGGCGGCAGGCCUAACACAUGCAAGUCGAGCGAGCGGCGGACGGGUGAGUAAUGUCUGGGAAACUGCCUGAUGGAGGGGGAUAACUACUGGAAACGGUAGCUAAUACCGCAUACCAUCAGAUGUGCCCCAAUGGGAUUAGCUAGUAGGUGGGGUAACGGCUCACCUAGGCGACGAUCCCUAGCUGGUCUGAGAGGAUGACCAGCCACACUGGAACUGAGACACGGCCCAGACUCCUACGGGAGGCAGCAGUGGGGAAUAUUGGACAAUGGGCGCAAGCCUGAUGCAGCCAUGCCGCGUGUGUGAAGAAGGCCUUCGGGUUGUAAAGCACUUUUAGCGGGGAGGCGGUACCCGAAGAAGAAGCACCGGCUAACUACGUGCCAGCAGCCGCGGUAAUAC
rnacentral:rRNA from 1 species